CAUUAAAACACCGGUUCUCCUACGACCAUCGAAGUUAAGCAACGUCGAGCCUGGUGAAUACCUAGAUGGGUAACCGCUUGUGAAUGUCAGCUGCUGUAAG